rnacentral:lncRNA from 1 species
CUGGAGGCAGUGGCCACGUCUGCCCUGAGACUGUGAGGUCCCAGGCAGCAGGAAGUGUCCCACCUUCGGGCCCCGAGCUCCCUCUUCUCUACCUGACUUCAGGAGGCCAGGACUCAGCAGAUCAGUGGCAGCCAUAGCACCCACACCUGGCCCAGCCAGCACAGGAGCUGUGGGACCCCAGCCUUCUGUCCAUCCAUCCAUCUCUCCACCAUCUCUCUGUCUGUCCUGUGGCCUCAGGAAAGCACACCUGUUGGGAGAGCCAAAGUCACUGGGAACCUUCAGUGCAGUGGAGGAGCCCGGGCCAUGUGUUUACAGCUCUUCGUGUCUCUGCGGUCUGGGGAGGCGCC